AAAUAAACCAGCCUCGUCUUGACCACAGACGGAAGGGUCCUCCCUGUGGUGCUGGCGUUCUCAUGAGGGACGAGGCCGAGUCUGAAAAAAGAAGGAAGCAGGGAUGGCGUCUGGAGAGGAGAGACUCACCAAGUAUUACAUUGUUGGAAUCUCCUCUAUUUUGGGGAUGAGCUUCGACACGUCCCGCCCGUUCCUGGAAAUGAAACACCGUCAUUACUGGAAGCAGAUGUGCCCUCUAAGAAAUGAACAAGAGAAAACAGAACGUAUGAAGAAGGAAGUAUAGUUAGUAUUCACGACGUCGGGAGGGAUGGGACCAAGGUCGCAGAGCUUCCGCAAGACUCGCCGAAACAGUGGCGGAUAAGAAACAGCAGCCGAGAAGCUAUGUGGUCGCCUGGAUGAGAUGUAGGCUGUCCUCCCUCCUGAGAUCAGCCAGGUCACCUGCACCCAAAACCACCCACAUUGCUGACCUGGACUUUGAGGCGACGGUGGUUGAUAGUCGUAUUAACCACAAGCUUUGUUAGCUUAAGAACAAUUUGUUUAAUAAUGUUUGAAAUACUAAAUAAAGAUGGUUGUCGGCCACAGUCAUUGGCGGGCUGGGGCCAAUGAAUUGCUUUGUGAAA